CGAUCGCAGCCGCUCUAGGCUGCGCGGCUUGUUUGCCCUCAGCCCCACCCCCUGGAGCACGUGGCACUGGGAGCUAGCUCCCAUUGGCCCGGCUCCGUCUCGGAGGCGGGGCUAGCAGCAGUGAACCGGCAGCAGGCCUGUGCCGGCUCAGUCCUUCCCUGACCGAGCAGAAGGAAGGACGUGCUGCUGCUCGGGUUCGGGGCCUCCACGUGGCCGGCUGGGUACCCGAAUCGGAAGCCGGAGCAGGAGGCCCACGGGAGCGGAACGUCGGGGAGCAGUGCAGCGGCCCUUCGAGCGAGCAGCGGAUUGGAGCGGCUCGGCGGCCAGGGCCUCUGUAGCCCGGCCGCCUGUGGUAACGGGCUCUGGGGGGAUCACAGGAGAGGCUUUUAAGUCCUCCUCGGAACGGCCUUUGAUCUUCGGGCCUCUCCACACAAGGGCUUCUAGGCCCCGCAGGCCCAAGCUGCCCGGCAUCGAGUGAGGGCAGCAGGCCGCCCCAGGCCCUCAAUAGGCCGCGCCAGGCCUUCAGCGGGGGGGCAAUUGACUAACCCGGUUAUCUGGGGGGAGGGUUGAUUGGACGUUGGGGGUGUUGGCUUGAACUGUGUGGAACCCCUUCAACCCAGGGCCCGUUUAGGCCUUCUGCUAAGGGCGGCCUUUGCCUUUAUUGUCGGGCCUGUAGGGCCUAACCCCCCCCACACACACCCAUUUUGGGGGCCUGCAUUGACUAGGCCUCCCUGGUGGGCUCGUGGGCCUCCCCUGCCGGGCCUAAGCUCCAUUUGGGGGCCUUUCAGUGGGGCUGGGCCUUACCACGGCUAGGUGGGGCAGGCGCUGUGACUCAUAGGCCUUCCUUGCCAGCGUAGGCCUCAGUCAGGCCUUGCGCCGGCCAGGUCACUCAUUUACGCACUUGAGGGCAGGGUACAGGCCCAUAAGCUUCAUCCUUUGGGACAUGGGCCCUAAGAAAGCCCCAGUUAAGAAAGCCCCAGUUAAAAAGGGUGGGAAGGCUCCAGCCAAGAAGGGUGGCAAGCCAACGCGGCCACCUAAGAGGCCAAACGCACCCGCCGAAUCCUCCUCCGACGAUGAGGGCGAUUUGGAACUGGGCGCCAUCAGGGCGUUUAUAGCACGGCUGCAGGCCCUUGAGAGGCAGCGCACCACUCUAGAGGGCGACGAGGCAGGCGGGGGGCCUUCGGGGGUGCCCCCACAUGCAAAAAAGUCAAACAGGGCGGAAAAGAAGGCAAAACUAAUGCAGGGCUUUGCUGACUGUCUAGCAGCUUUGGAGGCGGCGGCGGGAACUGCCCACGAGGAACCAGCGGGGAUCACGACACAACCGGCGGACUCAGGACCGGGAGACGGCAGGGACGACAAUGGACCAUGGUCUCAUCUUCUGUACAAAGUUAAGCAGUGAGUGCCAUCUCUUGUUUCAAGACACAACAGAAUUUGAAAAUCCCAACUCCCUGUGAUUAGCUGGAUGUUUUCAUGGCCCCUCCUGGAUCUUGAUAUGCCUGGUCAAAAGCUGAGGUGACAAAAAGCAAGACUGCCCAGAGCCUUUGGAAGGGGUGGUUUAUAAAUGUAAAUCAUCAUCAUCAUCAUCAUCAUCGUCGUCGUCAUCAUUAUCAUCCCAACUUCCUGAGGAUGCAUUCAGAAGAAAGCUUCACUGAGAGAAUAGUAUGGAAAAUUCAUCAAUGGGUGACUUCCUUAUGUCACAGUCCCAAAGGACUGGAUAAACACAUUUGCUGUCAUCCUGACAAAAUUUACUAAUAUAAAUUUAGACAGGAUGUCAGCCAUUUUGAUCAAUGUUUCUACCACAAGAAAACCUUUUGUUUUAAACAGGCCAUGCACAAAGAAGUUGAUAUAAAUUGGCUUUGUUUUUCUUUUACAAUAAAAAGAUUGGUCAAAUAAU